rnacentral:rRNA from 1 species
UACGUAGGGUGCAAGCGUUAAUCGGAAUUACUGGGCGUAAAGCGUGCGCAGGCGGUUUUGUAAGUCUGUCGUGAAAGCCCCGGGCUCAACCUGGGAAUUGCGAUGGAGACUGCAAGGCUUGAAUCUGGCAGAGGGGGGUAGAAUUCCACGUGUAGCAGUGAAAUGCGUAGAGAUGUGGAGGAACACCGAUGGCGAAGGCAGCCCCCUGGGUCAUGAUUGACGCUCAUGCACGAAAGCGUGGGGAGCAAACAGG